rnacentral:rRNA from 1 species
UACGGAGGGGGCGAGCGUUAUUCGGAAUUAUUGGGCGUAAAGGGCGCGUAGGCGGCUUGACAAGUCAAAGGUGAAAUCCCUCGGCUCAACUGAGGAACUGCCUUUGAAACUGUCAGGCUUGAGGCCGGGAGGGGGUAGCGGAAUUCCCAGUGUAGCGGUGAAAUGCGUAGAUAUUGGGAGGAACACCAGUGGCGAAGGCGGCUACCUGGACCGGUACUGACGCUGAUGCGCGAAAGCGUGGGGAGCGAACAGG